UACGUAGGGUGCAAGCGUUGUCCGGAAUUAUUGGGCGUAAAGAGCUCGUAGGCGGUCUGUUGCGUCGGCUGUGAAAACCCGGGGCUCAACUCCGGGCCUGCAGCCGAUACGGGCAGACUAGAGUUCGGCAGGGGAGACUGGAAUUCCUGGUGUAGCGGUGAAAUGCGCAGAUAUCAGGAGGAACACCGGUGGCGAAGGCGGGUCUCUGGGCCGAUACUGACGCUGAGGAGCGAAAGCGUGGGGAGCGGACAGG
rnacentral:rRNA from 1 species